UAUAUAUAUAUUUUUUUUUUUUUUUUUACAUUAGAAACAUUUUGAAAGACUUGAAAGACAAAAUCGAUAUAUUAAGUUGCAAAUAUAUCUUAAAAAAAUUGAAACAAAAAAAAGUAGAAGAACAGGAACUGAUGUUUAAAUGCUAUAAUGCUAUAAAAAUUCAAAAAACUUUUCGUGGAUACUAUUCAAGGAAAUAUGUCCACGAUUUUUAUAAGAGGAAAAAGGAAAUUAUCGAAUUAGAUAAUUACGUGAAAAUGCAACAAAGCGAGUUUUCAAAAGAAAUAGAGAAAAGAAAAAAGCAGCAAAUGUUGUAUGAUCAAGAGUUAAGGGAGCAAAAAAUUUAUAACGUAGCUAAGAAUUUGCACCACGUGGUAUCAACAAAAGCACAAAAAGGAGUUUAUAAUCCAAAAAUUGAAAAUAUAAUAAAAAAACAGCAAGAAAAGCAUAAAAUUAAAAAAAAAAAAGUAAUCAUGCCUGUAAGUAAAUGAAUGCAAGAAAAAAAAGGAAACGGAAAAAAAAAAAAAAAGACAACGAAAAAAAAAAACAAAAAAAAGUGCGAGAUAAAAUUAAAAAAGCAAAAAAAGAAAUAAAAUUAAAGUUAUCAAUGUUUCA
rnacentral:lncRNA from 1 species